AUUCCAUGACGGGGACAUUCUAGGAUAUAGUAUUGAAAGCACUCCCGUGCUUCUGCAAUAGACUCGUCAUGUUGUUGUUGAAAGCUUGAAAUCUUCCCACGGGGAGC
rnacentral:snoRNA from 1 species